rnacentral:lncRNA from 1 species
UCUCGAACUCCUGACCUCAAGUGAUCCACCCACCUUGGCUUCCCAAAGUGCUGGGAUUACAAGCAUGAGCCACCACGCCCGGCCUCACCUCCACCUUCUGAUGACAUUUUACUCGUGGAGAAGCAUCAGUAAAUGUUCCUUUCAUUCCUUCUGCCCACAGAGGCCUAGUCUCCAGAGCAGCCCCAGAUCAUGGGUGGGUGGAUGUUCAAGGAGAUUUCAGCGUGGCCACAGGGAGGAAUGUUCCGAUGAUCCGAGAUGGACAGGUCUGGAAGCCUGGCUCUGAGUUGGGCAGAAGGUAGGCUAGUGCUGUCCAGACACCUCCACCCUCUGCCUGGACUUUACACAUGUACUGAAACUGGGGAGGAGGAAGAGGUAUCCCACCACAGGACUGUCCCUCAGGAAACUGGGGGCCCUGGUGGGAGGAAACCUGCUUUGGCUGUAGAAAUAAACACCUCUGUUUGGUGAAAGCAAUGUUUGGGGCAAGAAGAUGGACACCAUAUCUGAACACAGCCCUCUUCUGACGUGGUUAUUUUACCUGGCCCUCCAGGUGGGAGUGGCCAUGUUCCAGCUCAGCCAAGGCCAGCUUGGAGGUGACAACUAGGAGGUGGUGAGGACCUUCUGUGGGGCAGGAGAAGAGCAGACAAGGGCUCCCCCAUCACCUGUCCUCUGUAGGAAGUGGUCUGGCCACCCCUCUCCAUGCCCCACCGUGAACACUGCUGGACUGCUGGGUGUGACCCCGAGGGUGGGCUGGGGGCCUCCUGACCCCUAUUGUACAGUGAGUCUGGAUGUGUAGGUGGGGAGCGAGCAAAAGAAGGUACCCUUUCCUCACUAGGUAAUAGCCAUGUGACCCACAGCUGAUUGGAACAUGGAGACUGAGGGUUAGGGAUGGGAAGGAAACUCCCCUGAAUUCUUUUUGGCAGAGUGGUGGGGCUGGGGACUAAAUGCCAUCUUUCUCAUAGUUUUCUAGCGUCCACCUUCCAUCCUCUUUUCUUCCUCUGACCUUCCUUCUAAAAAAAAACAGUGCUGC